UAACCAUAAAUUAGCUUUCUAUAACUGUGAGUUAUUAUUUUUUGGAUUCACGGAUAAGUGAUAUGUAAUAUUCAUUUUUUUCUGUGUCACUUAUUUCACUAAGUAUAAUAUUCUUUAGGUCCAUCCAUGUUGAUACAAUGGCAAUAUUUCAUUCUUUUAUGGAUGAGUAAUAAUAUUCCAUUAUGUAUGGAGUACACAGAUGACAAUCAUCUGUUGAUGGGCACUUGGAUUGUUUCUACCUUGGCUAGUAAAUAUGAUUGAUAGCAACAUUUCAUGAAGAAGGUAAAACAGCACAUGAUGCAAAACCACAUAUUAUUUCCUUCAAAAUGUAACUUUCACAUGAAUUCUCUGACAAAAUUAGCCAAUCCUUGGGCUGCUGCAAGAUUUCUUGGCGCUAUCUGCAAACCCCAAGCUCCUCUUCUGAGUAAGGAACACCCUCUCCUCAUUCCCUAACCCACAUAGCAAUUGGAAUAUUCACAAAGCACCUCUGUAAACAUCAACCAGACCUCUUCCCACCCAGACUCCUAAACCCACUGCAAUCUGCCCCUACCUUCUCUGUAGCAUCCCUUCUCCUGAUAACCAGAAAAUUCCUAGUAGGCAGACCUAAUAGCCAGUUUUCCAUCCUCAUCCUACCUCAUCUUAGCAUCUGACUUGGAGGGCCAUGCUCUCUUGACUUCUUAUUCCCUCAACUUUCACCCAGCCACUUUUUCCUCAUUAUCUUGCCUCCUUUACCUCCUCUUCUUAGCAUGCUUUCAGAACACUUCUGUCCUUCUCUUGUGUCAAGGUGCCUCCACCCCAACAAGCCUUUUGUCACUCUAAGCUCCUCCUAGGUGUUCAAUUUGACUGCCAUGAAUUCGCCUAUCAUCUAAUUACUCUCAAAACUCUGUUUCCAACCCUGAUCGCCUUCCCAGCUUUAGGCUCAAAACCUAUAUAGCUCAGCCCCUUGGGAUAUUCUGCACGCAAGUUGAUUAUCAAAACAGAACUCAUCUUCUCUUGAACUCCCCAGCCCAGUCUAUUUCUACUUCUUCUAUCUCCAUUAAUAGAAGGUAUUCCCAACUUUUUUCCUCCUUGCCCAUUUAUCUAAUUGAUCACCAAGUUCUGUCAGUUCUGCCUCUCCUAAGUCUCUUCCUCACCUCCUCCGCUCUCAGCUGUAGUUUAGACUUUGAUCAUAUCUAACAAAUUUGCCCAACUCUAGUUCUUCCCCUUUAUUGGUCGUUAGUCAGUCUUCCCUCACCACGGGCGAGGCCUUCCUAAGAAGAAACAGUCACACUCCGUGGUCUGGUCAUUGACCAUGCGCCCCUUAAUCACUUUAACAGCCUUCCUACUGCCAUCCCUCUUUAUAACCCUUCACCUGAGCCCAAAUAUACCUUAUAACUACACUCUUGCCUCUACGUAGAUUGCUGUUUUCCCAUUACAACUACUCGUGUGUGAGAAUCCAGCUCAGAAGUCAAAAGUUUAAAUGACAACACCAAAUGUUGGAGAGGAUGUGAAGCAGGACUGCCAGUUAAGAGUGCAGUAUGGAGCAACUGCUUUGGGAAAAGGCAUGGAAGUUUCUUAUAAAGUUAAACACACCUAUUCUUCAAUUCAGCCAUUCUACUCCUGAAAUAGGUCUGCUAAGUAGCAUGGAGUGGUGGCUAACAGCAUGAACUUUAAACCAGACUUUCAAGGUUUGCACCUGGGCAAACCUUUUAACUGUGAGACUUUGGUGGUCUGGAACUGGAUGCAUAGUAUCUCCACGGUAUCCCUGUAUAUAUGUGUGCAUAUAUAUUUGCAUGUAUGUACAUGUAUGUAUAUAUAUCACCAGGAAUAAACUUUAAAAGAAACUUAAAAUGCAUGAAGAUCUACCUGAAGGAAAGAACAAAACUUUACCAAGGUACAUUAAAAAAGGACUUCAAGAACUCAGGAGGAAAUGCCAAAGGAAAGCUUUCAGAAGGAUUUUGAACAGCAGCAGCAUAUUGAAAUAAAUGUACACAGCCUGGAUAGCUGGAAACACAUUUAGAUCCCUAUCCAUGUGACCACUUUCCAUCAGAAGAUAGCUGUUUGAAUUGUCAGUUCAAAAGCUCCCACUGCCCAGCAAGGCCAAAUGCCAACACACAAAACAACCUUUCAAACCAGUUAAGUUUAUCUCUAUGCCAAACACAGCUUUGAAAUACAAGUUUAGAUAGAAUGUGAACUGCUGAUGAAGAAUUGCUUCAAUGGAAUCAGCCCUGUAAAGGGCCAAAGGAGUAAACGUGAUCUUCCACGUGAAUGAACUGCAGUGGCUGCAUAUUGGUGAGACACAUUCAAGUCUUACCUUCAGUGGUGCAGUCAAAAGUAGACUCUUUCCUCGAUUGGGUAUGAAAGCCUAUUUAUAAACAGCUUUACCAGCUCUGUGGUACUAGACAGUUGGACGACUGGAAGAGACGAUGGAAGUUCUGCCUGUUACGAAGGAUUAUUCUGUGUGGCUCUAUAAAAGUAGGGCCCUUGGCCCUACCCCCACUGUGUGAGUCAGCGUCUCCUUCUUUUAGGCGCCCCUGCUCCCGUUCUCAGUCUCUGUCUGCUACUGUUUAGCCUCAGCAGCAGCAGAGAAGCAAAAGGUAGAAGAGCCAAGCACAAAACAGGCCUGUCCCAGUGCCGAGUGUAUGGUGUUCUCUGUCUAGGAAUUGCUCUUUGGCUACAGACCCACUACUCAGAGUGAACGCAGGGGUGGUUUAGGUUAGAACUUUUCUGGGAAGCAAUAAAGCUAUCCAGGAAGCCAUUGUAAACCACACAACCCAAAAAGUGUUCCUUGAGACCUAAUACAUACCAACAAGUUCCAGGUCCUGGGGAUGGGCUCCCUGCUCUCAUGGAGCACACACUUAGUGAGACAGGAACAGUAAUAAAUAAUUGCAUCAUGUAUCGUGUGGUGUUCAGGGUAAGAGAGAUAAAUCAGGACAAGGGGAAAGAUGCUAUCCUAGAUAGACUGCUUAGACAAGUUUCCUCUGACAAGGCAAUAUUUGAAUGAAGAUUGAGUCACACACAUAUCUGAGGCAAGAGUUUCAGGCACAAGAAACAGCAAGAAAAAAGUACUGGCUAGAGAUGUGCUUGGCUGUUUGAGGACCCAAGGGUGACACUCUGAGGAGCCAGUGACAGAAAUUCCUCCUGGGGUGACUCUUACAGGAGAUAAUUGAGUUAGGUGGCGAAUAAGGGGUUUCUUCCUAAGAUUGCUAGUGCUCUCUGCAUGUGGGUGGUGGGUUGAUCCUACCCAUAAUGUGCACUCACAUCUUCUAAUCCCUCAAUCUAGUCUCCUCAACAUGUGUUUUUUCAAAGUGCCAAAGUUGCUAAAAUCUAAGCUGCUUCACAGGAAAAAACCCACAAUAGAAUGAAAAAAGAAAAAUAAGUCUGGUCUUAAAAAUAUUUGUAAAGAAAAAUAAGUCUUUGGUUAUUUUCUGUUGAUCAUCUACUAAAUACAGACACAUUUUAUAUAUAUAUAUAUAUAUAUACACACACACACACACACAUAUAUAUAUAUAUAUAUAUUAAUCAUUCUGUACGUAGGUGU